UACGGGGGGGGCAAGCGUUGUUCGGAAUUACUGGGCGUAAAGGGCGCGUAGGCGGCCUUCUAAGUCGAACGUGAAAUCCCUGGGCUUAACCCAGGAACUGCGUCCGAUACUGGAAGGCUUGAAUCCGGGAGAGGGAUGCGGAAUUCCAGGUGUAGCGGUGAAAUGCGUAGAUAUCUGGAGGAACACCGGUGGCGAAGGCGGCAUCCUGGACCGGCAUUGACGCUGAGGCGCGAAAGCCAGGGGAGCAAACGGG
rnacentral:rRNA from 1 species